UGGGGAAUAUUGCACAAUGGAGGGAACUCUGAUGCAGCGACGCCGCGUGAGCGAUGAAGGUUUUCGAAUCGUAAAGCUCUGUCCUAUGGGAAGAUAAUGACGGUACCAUGGGAGGAAGCCCCGGCUAACUACGUGCCAGCAGCCGCGGUAAUACGUAGGGGGCGAGCGUUGUCCGGAAUUACUGGGCGUAAAGGGUUCGCAGGCGGCAUGGCAAGUCCGAUGUAAAAGGCGAAGGCUCAACCUUCGUAAGCAUCGGAAACUGUCAAGCUUGAGUGAAGGAGAGGCAAGUGGAAUUCCUAGUGUAGCGGUGGAAUGCGUAGAUAUUAGGAGGAAUACCGGUGGCGAAGGCGACUUGCUGGACUUCAACUGACGCUGAGGAACGAAAGCGUGGGUAGCAAACAGG
rnacentral:rRNA from 1 species